AGAGUUUGAUCCUGGCUCAGGAUGAACGCUGGCGGCGUGCUUAACACAUGCAAGUCGAACGAGCCUUCGGGCUAGUGGCGGCGGGUGAGUAACGCGUGGGAAUCUGCCCUCAGGAGGGGGAUAACGGCCGGAAACGGCCGCUAAUACCCCAUAUGCCGAGAGGUGAAACGAAAUUCCCUGGGGAUGAGCCCGCGUCUGAUUAGCUAGUUGGUGUGGUAAUGGCGCACCAAGGCAUCGAUCAGUAGCUGGUCUGAGAGGAUGAUCAGCCACACUGGGACUGAGACACGGCCCAGACUCCUACGGGAGGCAGCAGUGGGGAAUUUUCCGCAAUGGGCACAAGCCUGACGGAGCAACGCCGCGUGAGGGACGAAGGCCUCUGGGCUGUAAACCUCUUUUCUCAAGGAAGAAGACAUGACGGUACUUGAGGAAUAAGCCACGGCUAAUUCCGUGCCAGCAGCCGCGGUAAUACGGGAGUGGCAAGCGUUAUCCGGAAUUAUUGGGCGUAAAGCGUCCGCAGGCGGCCUUGAAAGUCUGUUGUUAAAGCGUGGAGCUCAACUCCAUUUCAGCAAUGGAAACUACAAGGCUAGAGUGUGGUAGGGGCAGAGGGAAUUCCCGGUGUAGCGGUGAAAUGCGUAGAUAUCGGGAAGAACACCAGUGGCGAAGGCGCUCUGCUGGGCCAUAACUGACGCUCAUGGACGAAAGCCAGGGGAGCGAAAGGGAUUAGAUACCCCUGUAGUCCUGGCCGUAAACGAUGAAUACUAGGUGUCGGGAGAAUAACCCUUUCGGUGUCGUAGCCAACGCGUUAAGUGUUCCGCCUGGGGAGUACGCACGCAAGUGUGAAACUCAAAGGAAUUGACGGGGGCCCGCACAAGCGGUGGAGUAUGGUUUAAUUCGAUGCAACGCGAAGAACCUUACCAGGGUUUGACAUCCUGCGAAUCCCUUGGAAACUUGGGAGUGCCUUCGGGAGCGCAGUGACAGGUGGUGCAUGGCUGUCGUCAGCUCGUGUCGUGAGAUGUUGGGUUAAGUCCCGCAACGAGCGCAACCCACGUCUUUAGUUGCCAGCAUUCAGUUGGGCACUCUAGAGAGACCGCCGGUGAUAAACCGGAGGAAGGUGUGGAUGACGUCAAGUCAUCAUGCCCCUUACAUCCUGGGCUACACACGUACUACAAUGCUACGGACAAAGGGCAGCAAACUCGCGAGAGCUAGCAAAUCCCAUAAACCGUGGCUCAGUUCAGAUCGUAGGCUGCAACUCGCCUACGUGAAGGAGGAAUCGCUAAUAAUCGCAGGUCAGCAUACUGCGGUGAAUACGUUCCCGGGCCUUGUACACACCGCCCGUCACACCAUGGAAGUUGGCCAUGCCCGAAGUCGUUACUCCAACCCGCAAGGGAGGAGGACGCCGAAGGUGGGGCUGAUGACUGGGGUGAAGUCGUAACAAGGUA
rnacentral:rRNA from 1 species